rnacentral:lncRNA from 1 species
AUGCAUUCACACACACCACACUCACCACACAUAUACACACCGUACCGCAAAUACACGUACACACACCACACCUAUACCACACACAAACAUAUCACACACAUACACCACACCACACACAUACACUCUACACAUAUGCACAUGCACAUCAUACACAUUCACCCACCACACCCUCCACACAGUACACACAUACACACCAUACCACACAAUAUACACACAGCACACUCACAUAUACCACACACGUACACACCACACUCAUCACUUAUAUCAAAAACACACUACACACAGCACAUCCACACCACACACAUCAAAACACAAUGCACACUCCCCCCCCUUAUCAUUUAUAAGCAGUUACAGAGUUGUUUCAACUGUGAGCAAACCAUGACCAGGGAAGACUGUAAGGAAAUUCACCGUGUCCCCUCACUGACUUCGCCUUGGGGGGCCUCUCCAAACUCUUUCUCUUUCUGCUUCCUUAGACUUUCUAGAUCAGAAACAACAUCGCGUCUGUAACCAACAACAACCUGAAAAAGUGACUUUCAUAAAAAUCCGGGGCUAGAUUCCUUUCCAGAUAACGAGGUUGAGAGUGUGAACUGAGUGCCCCAGGUCAGGGUGAACGCCUGGCAGGGAAGUGCACCUGACUCCUGACAAACAGGCAGCUGAAAGGCCAAGAGAGUGGGGAAGAACGGCUGCUAGCCCCUGCUCUCCAGGCUGGGCUGCUUUCUGGAAGAUGGCACAGCAGGGAGGGCGAGCAAGCCGGCCCAGUGUGGACACCUUAUGUAUUCCACCUCAGCCUCCAAAAUAGAUAGGAAGUGCAUGCCACCGUCUCACUCUGUCACCCAGGCUGGAGUGCAGUAGUGUGAUCAGAGCUCACUGCAGCCUUGAACUCCUGGGCUCAAGGGAUCCUCUCACCUCAGCCUCUCAAGUAGCUGGGACCACAGGUGCACACCACCAGGCCCAGCUAGAUUAGUCUUGAACUCCUGGCCUCAAGUGAUCCUCCCUCCUCAGACUCUCAAAGUGCUGGGAUUACGGGUGUGGGCCAUUGCGCCCAGCCUAAUUUAAGAUUUCAUGUGCAAAGUGCAGACCCACGAGGUCACAGGCACGGCUGUGAUAUCCAUUAUCCUGGACAGAAGCACCACAUUUUUCCCCAAGUGAUGUUUCCCCUUUGGAAAGCUUUGUCCACAGGGGAAUAGCAUUUUCAUUUCCAGGAUUCCAAUACAAUAGGGUGUGUUCUAAAAAACACAAAAAUCACAGUGCUAUGCAUCUGUGUUGCUGAGAGAG